rnacentral:rRNA from 1 species
AGGACGAACGCUGGCGGCGUGCUUAACACAUGCAAGUCGAGCGGUAAGGCCUUUCGGGGUACACGAGCGGCGAACGGGUGAGUAACACGUGGGUGAUCUGCCCUGCACUCUGGGAUAAGCCUGGGAAACUGGGUCUAAUACCGGAUAUGACCUGCUCUCGCAUGGGGGGUGGGUGGAAAGAUUUAUCGGUGCAGGAUGGGCCCGCGGCCUAUCAGCUUGUUGGUGGGGUAAUGGCCUACCAAGGCGACGACGGGUAGCCGACCUGAGAGGGUGACCGGCCACACUGGGACUGAGACACGGCCCAGACUCCUACGGGAGGCAGCAGUGGGAAUAUUGCACAAUGGGCGAAAGCCUGAUGCAGCGACGCCGCGUGAGGAUGAAGGCCUUCGGGUUGUAACCUCUUUCAGCAGGACGAAGCGCAAGUGACGUACUGCAGAAGAAGCACCGGCUAAACUACGUAACCAGCAGCCGAC